CACACGACUCUCGGCAACGGAUAUCUCGGCUCUCGCAUCGAUGAAGAACGUAGCAAAAUGCGAUACCUGGUGUGAAUUGCAGAAUCCCGCGAACCAUCGAGUUUUUGAACGCAAGUUGCGCCCGAGGCCUUAUGGUCGAGGGCACGUCUGCCUGGGCGUCACGC
rnacentral:rRNA from 1 species